GUCAGGAUGGCCGAGCGGUCUAAGGCGCCAGACUCAAGGAUUAUAUAAUACCUUCUCGAUUAGACAUCGAGUUUCUGGGCAUUCUGGUCCUCAUCUGAGGGCGUGGGUUCGAAUCCCACUUCUGACA
rfam:Nasonia vitripennis chromosome 5, whole genome shotgun sequence.